rnacentral:lncRNA from 1 species
UCCACUUGCGUUUUUUUAAAAAAAAUAAAAAUAAAGAAAUUGUCGAUGGUUUGAAACACUAGAGAAAGAGACAGAGCGAGGGGCUCCAAUGGACAAAUUAGCCGUCGAGGCGGCGGAGUCAAAUGUCCUGUGCUUGCCAUGGGAUGAAUUCAUAGAAUGAAACCCAUUCUGCUUCUUCUCUUCUCCCUUUUAACCCACAGCUCAGAGGAAGUGAUUAUCUUCUCGUCCCAUGAAGAAUCCAUCUCCUCUUACAAAUAUCCUGAUCCCUUUUCUCCUCUUCCUUUCCUUGCUCUCUCCCUCGGCAUCAGGAGUAGCGCAAACCUCUCUUUCAAGAGGGUCUUCUCUCUCCGUUGAGGAUGGCGCAGAUAUACUCGUCUCCCCAAGCAAGUCUUUCGCAUGCGGCUGUUAUAACGUCGGCUCUUGUUGCGGCCAAUCCUUUCGUCGCCUGGUCG